rnacentral:lncRNA from 1 species
AAAACCUAUCUCUGUGCACUCUCUGAACUUCAAAAACGAGCUAGCCUUUCUCUCCGGUGCACUACCUUUUCUCCGGCGGCUUCCUUUUCUCCGGCGAUUUUCUUCUCUCCAGCGAACUCUUUGUUGGGGAUUUUUUUGGAUCUCGAAUUUUGGCCAUCAAAAUAGGUGAGUAUGCAACUCCACUUUCCUUUUUGUUUUCUUGUAAUAUGUGAAAUUUCAUCAUUGUUGAAGAUGAUAAAUUGGACUUGAAUCUGCUGAUUUAAACAAAGGUUGUAUUUUGGUAAACACUACACAUUUGUUGUUGCUCUUCUUCUUAUCUACCUGGGAUUCAACAGACAGUUUUCUAGGAUAAUCCUCAAACUUCACUUGCUUUUUCACUUUAUUAACAAUCGUAUUUUGUUUUCCACAAACUUCUUUCUUCAAGCCAACAUAGACAAUGAUGUGACAUCAACUUUCUUCUGCCCUUUUUCUGAACAUUUUUUCUACUGUUAUUUGCGGCCUUCUUUGGCUUCAUUUCUUGAUUUUUCACCUUAUUGGAUUUUUAAUACUAAAGUUCUUUUUCUCUUCUUCAUCAUUGAAGCAAAAUACCAAAAACUCUGACUUAAAUUCUUGAUCAAAAUGCAAAAAGACACAGAUGUUCUAAUUCUUCUAUGAUAAAAAUAUUCAGUUAUAUUAAAUUGCAUCAAGCAAUCAAGAGAAUUAACUGACUUGUUUCUUGGUAAUGAACAACAAAAGUAUUUUUUUUCUUCAGGUAAUGAGUAUAAUCCCAUUAGCGUUGCUACAAUUUCUGGACUAUUGGAGGUAAUGAGUCUAAUCCCAUUAGCCUUGCUAUAAUUUCUGGACUAUUGGAUUAACUUUAUUACUACUAAUAUUUUUAUGAGCCUUGAAAGCUAAUUUCUGACUAGAAUGGUCAAGUUUUGAUGGUCCUUUGAUUUGCAAUGAAAAAGUUAGGAUUGUUGAAGAUAAUUUGCAUAGGUUGUUUAAAGAAUACAUGACAAUAUCCGAUGUUGGAAUUGUUAGAAGUAGUAGUCAUGAAUGUUAUGAUGAAACAAUGGACGAAAUGGAUGAAUUUGAUAUGUUUGAAAGUUCAUCUGAGUAUCGUUCAGAAAAGACAGUUGGAUUUAUAUACUUGGAAGAGCCUGUAUUAGUUCGCAAAGAAAAUAAAAAUAUACUUACAUUUUGGAAGGAUAAUAGAAGCAAGUAUCAUGAACUCUCAUUGAUGGAUCGUGACCUGUUAAGUAUACCUAUCAGCGCAGUUGCAUUUGAGUCAGCUUUUAGUAUUGGUGGUCGUCUGGUCGAGUUAUUAGCAACUUCCAGAGUUCUAUUCUACCGGAGAAUAUAGAAGCUAAGUUGUGUUCUAGAGAUUGGAUUUAUGGGCAUCAAGGUACAUUAUAAUCAAUAUCGUGUGUAUUUUAUUUUAUGAACUUUCUCGUUGUUUGACAAUUUUUUAAAUUUUCUUAUUUUUAGCUUGUGAUGAUUCUGAAGAGGAGGACAUUGCAAUAGAUGUGGAGAAAAUUACCUCUACACUUUUAAAAAGUUUAAAUCUUGGUAUCAUUCAGGCUUUUUUCUGUAUGAGUUUCAGAAAUAUCCCAUUCAUAGAUUCGAGAUCUACAUCUAUGAAUUAAAAUUUUUUCACUUGAUUGUAUAUUAAGUUUUCCAUUUAUGCACACCUUCCAAAAUUAUGAUUUCUCAUUUUACUUAUGGUGUGUGAUGCUUUGUCAGGAUAACUUUGAUGCUAGAAAGAGGAAGAUAAAAAGUGUGUGUUGAAGAAGAUGUUGGCUUCAAUCUUUACUUACUAGUUGUCAGCUAUGUAGUAAGAAUGCGUAAUCUUUCUGUUAGUUUCAAAGACAAUCAUAUUAUUGUAGUUUGAUUGCUGUUUUGAUAACAUCUUUCUGUUAAUUUCAAAUAAAGUGGAAUUCUUGUUCAUCAGAUGGUGAUCAUCAAAUAUCAUUUGUAUCAUUCAUAUUGUUGCCCGAGGGGCUAUUGUUGAUUCAUAUUGUUGCCCGAGGGGCGGUUCUUGAUUCAUGUUAUGCCUGAGGGGCUGAUUACAAGUGAUUAUGAGGUAGCCCGAGGGGCUGGUUCUGUUGAUAUUAUGCCCGAAGGACGGUUUAUUGUACAUGUUUUGUCCGAGGGGCUGUUUAUAUUUUCCUAUCAUUUUUACUCACUGUUUUAUCACUCGUUUGAAACUAUUGAAAAUUGUUUUAAAAGGUUUUACGGAAACUGAGCUUGAUUUACGAAGUAAAUGAUUCUUUAUUGUUUUGGAAAUGUACUGCAUUUGCUGUAGCGUUAUGAGGUGGCUUACGUGUUUUCUUACUGCUCAGCUUUCAUUUACUUUUAUUACUUACUGAGUUGGCGUACUCACAUUACUUCCUGCACCUUGUGUGCAGAUUUAGGUAUUUCUAAACCCGUAGUGGGUGUUGAUUGCUCAGUGGCAGAGUCAUUGGAGAUAGCAAGGUAGCUGCCCGACAUUCGCAGCCUUGCUCUUCUCCCUCUUGUCUUCCUUAGAUUGUUUUUUGUAUAUUUUCAGACUUUUCGUUGUAUUCAGACCUUAGUAGAUGCUCGUGACUUGUGACACCCCGAUGUCGGGCUUGUGUAUUUAUUUUGUACUAUUCAUUUAGAUGUACCUUAAUAGAUAUUUGAUUAAUUAAAG